CAGAGAACAUCGCCCUCACGGGUGACUCUCCAACCCUAUGUUAUUAAAUCUUUGUUGCUUUGGCGAGCCGCCUCGGCCACCGGCUUUUACGCUGGUGAGUGCUCGCCAGAGGACCCCAAACUCUGUUUAUUAGUGUCGUCUGAGUACUAUAUAAUAGUUA
rnacentral:misc_RNA from 1 species